GGACGGUGCCGAGACAUGGUGGCUGUGGUGGACGGUGCCGAGACAUGGUGGCUGUGGUGAACGGUGCUGCUAAGACAUGGUGGCUGUGGUGGACGGUGCUGCUGAGACAUGGUGGCUGUGGUGAACGGUGCCGAGACAUGGUGGCUGUGGUGGACGGUGCCGAGACAUGGUGGCUGUGGUGAACGGUGCUGAGACAUGGUGGCUGUGGUGAACGGUGCUGCCGAGACAUGGUGGCUGUGGUGGACGGUGCUGAGACACGGUGGCUGUGGUGAACGGUGCUGCCGAGACAUGGUGGCUGUGGUGGACGGUGCUGCUGAGACAUGGUGGCUGUGGUGGAUGGUGCCGAGACAUGGUGGCUGUGGUGAACGGUGCUGCUGAGACAUGGUGGCUAUGGUGAACGGUGCUGAGACAUGGUGGCUGUGGUGGACGGUGCUGCUGAGACAUGGUGGCUGUGGUGAACGGUGCUGAGACAUGGG
rnacentral:lncRNA from 1 species